rnacentral:misc_RNA from 1 species
CAUUGCGAAAAGUCAUGCGACCUGCACUCUUUGAGAAGCAUUACUCUUUGAACGCACCUUGCGCGCACUAGACACCUAGUGCGAGGUCCUGUUUGAGCAUUGCAACCAGUUACACGUGGCUGCUUCAGUACGAGGCGGCUGAAAAGCAUGCGGGCCCGAACGACUCUAGGGCGAUUACCAAGGCAGGGCGAGCAGCGCGACAAGCUUCGCAGCACGCCCCGCGAACCGCAGGCACGUGGGUGGCGAGAGCGCAAUCACAUCCGACGAUGCGAUGGCACACUCACAGCCCACAAUCACACACACACACAAUCUCAAAUCAGGAUAGAGGACCCGCUGAACUUAA